UGGAUAAGGAGCAGUGCUGGCAGCAAUUCCGUGCUACUGCCUGCAACGAGAUAAAAUAGAAGAGAACCAAAGAAAAAGGGAGUCUCAGGUUGCUCCGGGGCUUUCAACUACAGUUGGCUGGACCCAGUGAGAGACGAUCUCCUUGCGGUUUCUCCUUUCGUCGCUCGAUAUCAUUCAUCCGGAGAUUGAUAUAAUAAUUACUCACUGUGGGAUGGCCGUGGCACGUAUAGAUUGAGAUAAAGGCAGUCCUCGCUC